rnacentral:lncRNA from 1 species
UAUCUUCCCAUGAAUCAUUCUGAUGGCACUUCCCCCUUCAGAGGUUACUACUCACCCAGAUGUGAGCUCUUCCUCUCUCCUCUGAGAUCGUCCUGCUUCGCAUUGUCUCCGAGCUUUGCAGCUUUCGGCACAGCCAGCCUUAGAGUCAAGUUCCAUAGAAUGGAGUGAAGAAGUGUACACAAUGCUGCUGAGAUUCUCAGAGAGCUGGGCUCUCCCUGACUUUUACAGCUUGGAAAUUACGAAAAGCCCUUCUAAAUGAAGAAUUCAUGGCAAUACCACCUAAGAGAAGUUGAGGAAAGGACCGGGAUUCUGUUCUCUUCUUUGGAUAUAAACAUUGCUACCCUGUCUCAGUGUAAGGCUCACAGUGGAGACAGUGAGCUUUCUCCAGCCCAGUUCGCCCACAGAUGCUAUCUGCCAGCUCUCUUUGCAGAAGAGUUCAUUUUAAAGGGAUCCUGGCUUGAUUAA